CAUUUACCUACAGCAUUUUAUUUUUAAGGGAAAUAAUUGUGGUCCGACAGUAUUAUUUUGAAAAUCACAGUUGAGAUUUUUUUAUGUGUGCACCGGUACAGUUUUGCGGGGAAGCGAAAGUUGCCAUGGAAUUUUGUCUUCUUCUAAAAACAAGUGUCUGAUACAUGUAGUUGCAGUCUGUCUUUGGAAGCUGUAGAAAUAACAAGAAAGAGGCUGACAUAGUGUUUUGGUAGGGAAAAGUUUGAGUAUGUACAUGUACAGUUGUUUGACCUGUCUUACCCUGUGGCAGUCCAAGAAGAUGUUACCAUUAUGAAAAAUGCAGGAGAACUUGAAGACAAUGGUUAGUGCAGAAGGGACAUAAAAGUUAUGACAAAAGUAACAGAUAUAAAUAAGAAGUGCUACAAGUGUGUUGUCAUGUGAAACGGAAUUUACCCCAACUGUGCUGCAAGAUGUAUAUUCAAGUGCAAGACAGCCAUGCACCAGCUGUAAACUGAGAUGGACCCAUAUAAUAAAUAUGUUGACUUUUCUAUGUAUUAUCAUCUGUACAGAAUGCGUUCAUGACAAGACUGUAUACAUAUAUUGUUAAAUCAUUUUUUAUUUCCAUUAUUGCAUGCAUGUAAGAAGCAAGCAUUUAACAAUUGCAUUCAUAGAAGUGUUAAAAUGUGAUCAAUCUAAUUUAAAGAAACACAUUUAACUGGACUUUUUAAGUUUCAUAGUAUUUGUGGUGGAGACUGACCCAGCCAUUCAGCAACUUAUACUGUCUGUGUGUCAUUUCUUGUAUGUUAUAGUUUUCUUAAUAAUACAUUAAAUGUCAAAGUUAUGGUAAGAUGAACUCAUUCAUCACUUGUAGAUUAAUGUUAAAGCAGUUCAACAUUUUACCAUAAGUUAACUAAUAUUCUAUUUAACCAGAGUUGUCACAUAUUUUCAUAUAAAUAUUUGUAUAAUACAGUCUAAUCUAAUCUAGAUAUGAUGUUCCACAAUUUUUUAGUUAUAUUUUAUGUUAAUAUUUUAUGUUGUGUUCAUGUCUCAACAUAUAAUUACUAACAUCAAAGAAACUUAAGUAUUUUACAAUUUGGUUGGUAUAAAUGGUUGUUUUGUUUAUAUAUAUUUAUUUUUUUCAUCUAGGAGAAUAAAGAAAUAUACAUUUCAAAAUAUCUCAUAAUUCCAGAUAAGUACACUACAUAAUCAAGAUAAAAGAAAUAAGAACAAAAUAUGUUGGUGGAAUUUUAUUUUCAAAAAUUUGAUAUACAGUCUUUGUAGUAUUUACUUCUUUAGAUAUGUUGGACUGAAAUGGGAAUAACAACAUACUUUAAAUUUUUGUAGUCAUAAGUUAAUAUGGGAAUUAUUAACUUAACUUAAAAAGAUUUUAUCUCACUGUUAUGCCAUCUGAGCUUUAAUAUUUUUCAACAUUGUCAUUGGCAACAAGGCUCAAAAUUAUUUGUUGUGUAUACCUUGCAUUCAUGUGUGAUAAAUGCUUUUAUGGUAUUCUUUAAUAUAAUUUAUGCUUUUCAUCUUACCAUGGAUUAAAAAAAUAUAAAUUUAUUUGUCUGAAAAUUAAGGUAAAAAUACUGACUGAUUAAAUUGCAAUAUAAGAAAGCUUACUUGAGAUAAAGAGAGGUAAUUCCAUAAAAAAAUAUGUAGUAUGUAGAUGAUAAAUGUAAUGAAGGGAGGUAAUAAAAUAUUGUGAAGUUAUUAGUCUUCAUUUCUUUGAUGAGCUAAUUAAUUGUUUUACAUUUUGGUUUAUUAACUACAAGUAUGACCUAACAUGUGUACCUGUCCUGAAGGAAAAUAAAAUAGGUUGUUUGA